AUUGAACGCUGGCGGCAGGCCUAACACAUGCAAGUCGAACGCGUGGCGGACGGGAGAAUAAUGUCUCGGACUCUGCCUGAUGGAGGGGGUUAACUACUGGAACCGGAAGCGAAUACCGCAUACCAUCAGAUGUGCCCAGAUGGGACUAGCUAGUUGGUGGGGUAACGGCUUACCAGGGAGACGAUCACUAGCGGGUCUGAGAGGAUGACCGGCCACACUGGAACUGAGACACGGUCCAGACUCCUACGGGAGGCAGCAGUGGGGAAGAUUGCGCAAUGGGCGCAAGCCUGAUGCAGCCAUGCCGCGUGUGUGAAGAAGGUCUUCGGGUUGUAAAGUACUUUCAGCGGGGAGGCGGUACCCGCAGAAGAAGCACCGGCUAACUACGUGCCAGCAGCCGCGGUAAUAC
rnacentral:rRNA from 1 species